rnacentral:lncRNA from 1 species
AUUGAUUAUAACUUUUAUAUGAUUGUUGUCCUCUGAUAAUCUGAUAAAACAUAUAAGUUCUGUCAACCACCGACAUGAAAAGGAAAGUAAAAUACUUCUGUUACUUUGAAAAUGACCUCAGGCUCAACUCACAUAUGUCAUUAGUUAAGCUCAUCGAGACUGAAUUCCCUGACCGACCAUUAAUACAUCAUCCCCACACUUCUGGUUCUGUUCUUUGUAACAUGGACUAUUUACAUGUGGCACACGCUGUUGGCCCUUUUCAAAGAAGUUAGCAUGUGAAGUUUAGCAGAACCAGUACAGUAGAAAAGGCCAUCUAGUUACUGAACUGGUGGUGCAUGGCCGUGCAUGUACACAGUACAUAAACGCUGAAUGUUGAACGCCACAGAAACCCCAAAUGUUUACUAUUCUUCAGCAUCUAAUGCGCCCUGAUAGAAGGCUUUAUCAAGAUAGAGACUGCACCCGAGAACUACCGCCACAACCUCAUCCAUAAAUGAGAUCUAUUGACCAAUUUUCUGCAACAAAUUAAGUAAAGACCCAGAAUCCAAACACAUGUCUCUCCCCUCUCCUGCAAUUCGCACAAGUAUAACAAUCAGUAUAUAUGGGCACAGCUGCAUGAGGGCACAUCAAGGAACAACAGAAAAACACAUCAAUCAGGAUGCUUGUUCAGUAUACACACUUUCACAAACAUUAUCUAAACAUUUUCAUAUUUGAUUUCUAGCACAUAAUAAACACCUUCAUCCAUAUUUCAAGGUCCUGGUUAAUUUUGCAUCGUGUGUGUGGCAAUCUGGGUUCAGCAAAAGCUCUGAAUCUUUUCCUGAUAAUCUUAUAGCGUUAUAAUAUAGUCUUCCCUGCCAAAGAGUAAUGGUUGGAAACAAGAAACACAAGAGGUUUUAUAAGCUAAUGAUAAUAUGCUACAUAAAUACAAAAAAGAAAAAAUAACCAGAGAUGAGAUGAACCAAAAAAUUGAGCUUGUAGUACAAAUACCAACUACAAACACCUUAUCGCAGCUUAUAAGGGAAUCAUUUUGUCAAGCGUAUAGUACAAAAACGAAAUACUCUAGAAACAUAUAGAUAGAAAGGCUCGAUGGCAAUGGGCAUAUCUGCAGCAGAGCCGCAACCUCAAGUAUAAUUGCCAUACUUAUCUACGCUAAAAAGGAUAGAGAGCGACCCAUGUGCAUUGAGGGAUACACUAAAGUUAGUUAUGUGACUAAGCUUGGUUUGUGAAAAAGGCGAAACCAAUUAUUUAUGUGCUUGACACACCAGCAAAUCAAAUGCAGCCUCCACUACAUGUCAAUAGUUCCAAGAAAAACAAAAAUCUAAUAUGAUAUUUAAUUGUAAGCAUACAACAAAUAGUUCCACUCAGAAAUUGGUGUCGCCAUUCCUCGAAAUAGAAAUUUUCAACCUUUCCAACCUUUUUAAAUUACAACAAAGAGUAUCACUGUUUAAGUUUCUAAGAAAAAUGAAGAAAAGUUGAGAACCGUGGGUUCAACAUGAGAUUAGAACUUACAACAGCUACCAUGGCGAGGAACUGUUUAUAUUAUAUAAUGUUGAAUUUUGAAAAGGUUUUUCUAUUAUUAUUAUGUUGACACUAUGACAGCAUGUUUACACCAGGAUAAAAUCUUGUCAAAAUUAUCUGUCUAGUUCAAACAGAUAUCAAGUUCAAUGAUAUGACAACGAUAGUUUAUCAUCUGCUAUUAUUAUGCUAUAUGACAUGAAGUGUACAUGUUUAACUGGGCAAAACAGAACACACACAGGAUCGGCAAAAUUUUGCCCAGAGCCUUCCUACUCGUCCUAGGCACCUCCCUGCCUCUCUCUCUCUCCCCCCUAAUCAGGCUAAUAGAAAUAUAGACCCAAGUUGUAUAUGAAUCGUCCUAAUCAACAACAACAUGAUUUACAUCGUCCCUGUAAGAAUUUAUAGCCUGCAAAGCAGCCUGUUCAUAGGCGGACAGUGCCCCCGUACCGCCAGUUGCCUAGAAGAACAUCCUAUCUGGCGGCAGGGAGAAACUGCUUUCGCUCCACCCCAACAAGCACAACCCCAUCGUCAAUAAUCUCACACACGCAUGAAAGAGCGGGCAAACAAAACUGCGCCGCCAGGGUCUAAAAAAUUGGGAUCACAAAAGACAUAGCAAGGCACAUCCUAGCACAGGAAGCGGUAUAAAUGAAAUAAGCAGCAUAAGAAAUCGAAACAAACAAAUAACGCACGCACGCAACACCCGGUCAGGUAGCAGAAUAAAACAGUAAGUAAUAUAGAGAAACAAAAAGAAAGAAAACAGAAAAUGGAGGCACAGAACACAAACCUUGACAGCAAGUCAGGGAACCGGCGAGCUGACAGAUCGGUAAACGACAAAGCAAGUGAAGGCAACGACAAUUGGACCUGCAAAACAGAAGGAAGCAGGGACACACAUGACGGAUAGUGUCAAGCUAUCUAUCGCCAGAACUACAUUUAAGUAAGAUCAUGAAACUAAAAUCUGCUAUGCCAUUACCUAUACAGCCUUUGUAUAUGUUAUCAGAUUAACAUGUAUGGAGACAACAGAAUAUACCAGGGGAUAAUUAAGUAACACCAGGAAAACUAUUACCAGAUCACAAACAACGGCAAUCUGACAACCAAUGCACAAGGUUGCCAAAGAAAGGCACACUUACAGAGUCCGUAAACAAGAUAUCAAGCAGAACACAUAAUAUUAAACAGAGGCGUAAUUCUCCUCUGUAUUCUGAUGUGUAUGCUUCAGAAAUUUGUACCUUCUCAUCUGUUUGAUUUGGUUAUCGUAGUUCGGUCUUUUCCCUCUGGUGAACUAUGCGCCAUCCUUACAUGAUUCAUCAGCAACCACCUAGAAACGAUCUGCGGAAAAACAAAAUCAAAGUGAAAUCAAAUGGAAUCACAUGUAGGCAGUAGCGAAGUACUAUAUCAAAAUCAUUUGUUGCAAUGUAAAUUUGUAAGAUAUACAUGCAAUUGAUAUCCAAAGGUCGCUAUUUUGAAUUCUUGCUAAGCAUGACAGGCAAAAGUACUAGGUGGAUGCAAAUGCUUCUAUUCUCCUUAUUGUAAGUAGACAAUCUAAAACCAAGUAUGUGAUCAUAAUAACUGAAGGGUAAAAGUAAUUAAGAGGUAAACAUACAAGGGCAUACAAAUAAGGUUGAAGCAUUGCUGGGUACUGGUAGCUGUAAAUCUCUUUGUGAAAUCUCCUUUAAGUAACAUUAUCAUCACUCUUACCUACCUACACACACCUUCAAAGGAUGAGGUCAAAGCCAAGUGGAACUGUGGAAGUACUAAAGAAAGGGAAAGUGUCUGAUUCAUAAGCAAAGAGAGCAAGAGACCGAACUUUAAGAAUAUGUAGGAGGUUUAUUAGUAAGGAAAUAGUGGUAACCUUUUCUUAGUAAAUAAGCUCGAUGGAAACAAAUGUACUUUUCAUAUAUGACUCCCCAAAAAAGUUUAAAUAUCUUUUCCUUUAGCUGUAGCAUGACCAUAUGUACAAUGGUUGAUCACACUGUCAAUGUACCACAAUGUGCACAGCUUAUUGAUGCUUUGGGGCUAACACAUGUUCUUCACAACUAAAUUGGUAGAACGAUAAACAUGAUGUUGAGCUAGAAAAAAUAGAACUACAGACUGGGAAAAGUUCAGUUCCAAAAGCAUAUCUGAUAGAUAUGUCUGCCAGGCAUGUCGUACAUUUUCUACAGUGAGAUAGACUGGGAAGAAGAAACACAUUACUGGUUCUCCAAAAACAUAUUAAGAAAUGGAGCUUUUGGACCAGUAAAUUACACUGGUAUUCUCAAUAUAGAAUAUACCACAUCUGCAAUCUCACUGGUGAGAACCAGUGCAAGAGAAAUGAUCUAAGCCUAUAAGCUUCCAUCCUAACUGACGGGGAGACAAAAUGUCAAUACCCUCUCACUUAGUUCAGACAUGUAUAGGAUAAUGUAGCCGUACAUGUGUGUAAACAGAAACCANNNNNNNNNNNNNNNNNNNNNNNNNNNNNNNNNNNNNNNNNNNNNNNNNNNNNNNNNNNNNNNNNNNNNNNNNNNNNNNNNNNNNNNNNNNNNNNNNNNNNNNNNNNNNNNNNNNNNNNNNNNNNNNNNNNNNNNNNNNNNNNNNNNNNNNNNNNNNNNNNNNNNNNNNNNNNNNNNNNNNNNNNNNNNNNNNNNNNNNNNNNNNNNNNNNNNNNNNNNNNNNNNNNNNNNNNNNGGCGUCCCUAAGGCGUCGCCUAGGCGACGCUUAGGCGUCAGGGCGCCCUGCGAGGGCAAGGCGUCCACCUCGCCUUAGGUGGGUGUCUAAGGCGUCCGCCUUAAGCUAUAAGGCGUCCGAGGCGUCUGCCUAGGCGUCCGAGGCGUUGCCUUAGUCCAUUUUGGACGCCUUAGCUUGCCAGGCAGGCAGGGGAGCUGUUUUAGGCGGGAAACAGAGUUUUGGCGGGAAACUGGAAUCAUGUUGGCGCCAACAGGUAAGAGGGGAGAAAGAGAGAGAGAGAAACAGCCCCCAAUCCACACACUCCUCCCCCUCCUUCUCUUCAGUGGCUCCUCUCCAGCAGAUCUGGUUCCUCCUCCUCUCCAGCAGCUCCUCCCCCUCCUCUCCAACGGUUCCUCCUCUCCAGCAGCUCCUCCUCUUCCUCCUGUCCAGCAGCUCCUCCUCCUCUUCCUCCUGUCCAGCAGCUCCUCCUCAUCCUCCUGUCCAGCAGCUCCUCCUCCUCUGCAGUACAGCAACAACAAGCAAGAGCAACAGCAUGCCCAAUGCGGAGGGGGAGGAUUCAGACUACGUUGAGGAUGAUGAUGAUGUGAGCAAUGACGAUCAAGAGCCAACUAAUGUUGACCAAGAUGGUGAAGACAACACCAAUGCCAAUGAGUUUGAUGAUGAUGACUUUUGAUUGAGACUUUGAGAGUGGAGAGACAUGAGAGAGCUGAGCUGGCCACCUUUAUCCCUUUUGCUAUGCUGGAAUUAUCUAUUAUUCUGUUUGUCUUAUGUGGACUACUAGACUUGUGUCAUUUGAAUUGGUUAAUGGUUAUGUAAUAUGCCAUGCAUUGCAGAUUGCAGUUGCACUCAUACUUGCUAUCUUUCUUUCCACUUUUGUUCGCUGCCUCACUUUUAUUUCUAUUUUUUGUGGAAUGUGCACUGGUAAGUGAUACAUUAUUCUAACAUAUUUGUUCAUGACUUCAUGUUGAUGCAGAAUUCUGUUGGGGAGAAAAGCAAGUGCAAAGAGGAUGGGGGCUCUACAACAAUCAGUUGCAAGGUGUGUAUGGCUGUAUGCCUAGUUGCUUAAUGCCUACCAAAUUCUACUUAAUUCUGUUGCUUACAAGUCUCUAAGGCGUCGCCUCGCCUUAUGCCUCAGCGCUUAGGCAGUGAGGCGCCCCCCCAGCGCCUCGCCUCGCCUUACCGCCUUAAAAACAUAGGGUCCGACCACUUUGGGUCUAUUGUACGCAGCCUUUCCCUACAUUUCUGCAAGAGGCUGCUUCCAGGACUUGAACCCGUGACCUCAUGGUCACAAGGCAGCAGCUUUACCACUGCGCCAAGGCUCCCCUUCCAAGUUCAUUAUGGAAACUGGAAAGAAAAAAGGGCGGCCCGGUGCAUGUAGCUCCCGCUUGCGCAGGGUCCGGGGAAGGGUCCGACCACUUUGGGUCUAUAGUACGCAGCCUUUCCCUACAUUUCUGUAAGAGGCUGUUUCCAGGACUUGAACCCAUGACCUCAUAGUCACAAGGCAGCAGCUUUACCACUGCACCAAGGCUCAACUGGAAAGUACCAACAAAAUGGCAGUAAAAGUUUUUUCAGUUUUACGUUUAGUAGCACAGGUAGGAAGUAGAUCAGUUCUUUUUUCAGUUCAGGGAAAUUUAAGACAAUGUAGAAUUGCCUAAUCAUUUUAUAUCCAAGACAGAAGUAUUGGCAGAUUAUCUUCAAACUAUAUUCUUUACAGUUAUAAGAAAGGUUGUCCAAUGCGGAGAAAUAGGCAUGCUAAUUGAUUAAGUUUGGUAACAAAACGUAAAAGACGCUCACUACAAAAAUACAGGCCAUAGGACUGAAAAUAGAAAAACCAAUGAUAAAGAAGGAGGUAACCUAAGUAUGUUUGUAAAACAUAACUCACCGUUGAUGGACUUAAUUAAGGUAUUUUUAAGCACAACAUUUAUAAAGGAAAUUGACCAUAUAUUUUUCAUGAACGAUGCAAGACUUAUGGGUGUUUUUUUUUUUUUGCAAGAAUCAACCUUAGCAGGCUGUUGUGUAGAGUUACUGUCAGCGGAAGAUGCCACAGCCAAGAGAAAUUGGCUCUAGAUUUCUUCUAUGCCUGCUGCUCCAUCCUGCAGCAAUUAUUUAGAACAACAAAAUAAGAUGGUUGUCAGAUUAGAUAUGGCACACUUCUUGCAUAGAAAAGAGAAAGCCACACUAAAGAACGCGUUCCUAGUAUGUAUUUAUAAACAUAGAGAUACUACUAAUCAAUAUAACAAACUAUUUCCUUCAGCAAAAGGAAAACAUGCAUGUAGCUAGAAAGAAAGGAAGCAAACCUCGAGCAGCAGAACAGAGUUACAUCAAAGCAGUAGAUCAAGAUGCAGCAACACAGGGGAUCCUAGAACCUGCUAAAUAAACAGAGAUGAAGUAGUCAGAGCAAAGGCAACAGGUGGAACGGUGCACAGACAGGUAAAAGAAAAGUCAUCCACAAACAAGCAAAAGAAGAGUCCAUUUACCCGACCUAGAAAAGGAGAAGCAGGCUAGGAAAUCAGGAAAGACGGAUGAUACGACAUCAAGCAAAAUGAACUGAACGCAAAAAAGUAAGGUUAGAAAAUACGCAUUUCAUCAAACAUCUUGCAGGCAAGAAAAUGGAGCAGGGUGUCACCUCAACUAAUUGCCAAAGGCAGAACGGUGCAUCGGUGGACGCAGGAGAGGACGACAAGAUAAUCAACCAGCGUAUGAAGGAAACUAAAAGAAGAACACGAAAUCGGCAGGGAGUAGAAGAUAUGAAGACGAAGGAGGCCAGCGGGGAGUCCGCAGCGGCAGCUCCAUGGCUGGACUGAGCCAAUCCGCCUCCUGGCUCGCAUCCGCUGCUCCCCUCCUCCGAGCGACGACGCCUUGGUUGAGCUCCUCCUUCGCACCUUCCUCGCGACGAGGUCUCUUCUCCUCCUGGGGCUUUGUAGCAACCCGGGGCAGAUGAGGACCUCGGGAGGCGGUGGAUCUCAUCAAAAGAGACAGCGAAGCCCUGGGUCACGGCUGAGGUGAGGGAGGGAGGAGGGAGAGGCGCGGCGGCUGCUUGAUUGCGAGACUGGGCUAAGGUUUUCCACCAAUGGUGGCUGAGCAGGGAGAGGGAUAGAGCAGGGAGGGAGGGGUGCGGGCGUGCGGGCGAGGGGAAUGGGCGAGGCCUGCCCCACGCUCCCGCAGACUGCAC